CCUACGGGAGGCAGCAGUGAGGAAUAUUGGUCAAUGGGCGGGAGCCUGAACCAGCCAAGCCGCGUGAAGGAAGAAGGCGCCAAGCGUCGUAAACUUCUUUUGUCGGGGAACAAAGGGCGCCACGUGUGGCGUUGUGAGUGUACCCGAAGAAAAAGCAUCGGCUAACUCCGUGCCAGCAGCCGCGGUAAUACGGAGGAUGCGAGCGUUAUCCGGAUUUACUGGGUGUAAAGGGCGUGCAGCCGGAGAGACAAGUCAGAUGUGAAAUCCGCGGGCUCAACCCGCGAACUGCAUUUGAAACUGUUUCCCUUGAGUAUCGGAGAGGUCAUCGGAAUUCCUAGUGUAGCGGUGAAAUGCGUAGAUAUUAGGAAGAACACCAGUGGCGAAGGCGGAUGACUGGACGACAACUGACGGUGAGGCGCGAAAGCGUGGGGAGCAAACAGGAUUAGAUACCCGUGUAGUC
rnacentral:rRNA from 1 species